rnacentral:ncRNA from 1 species
GUGUUCGUAGAAAGGAGAGACGGUUGGCAUCUCCCCUGACAGGGACGGGAACAGUCUUUGGACUUUCCUCUACACAUUGCGGUUAAGGCUACCCGCUUCGGCGGAUCUUACCCAAAUUUUUUU